GAUGAACGCUGGCGGCGUGCCUAAUACAUGCAAGUCGAGCGAACAGAUGAGGAGCUUGCUCCUCUGACGUUAGCGGCGGACGGGUGAGUAACACGUGGAUAACCUACCUAUAAGACUGGGAUAACUUCGGGAAACCGGAGCUAAUACCGGAUAAUAUAUUGAACCGCAUGGUUCAAUAGUGAAAGACGGUUUUGCUGUCACUUAUAGAUGUAUCCGCGCCGCAUUAGCUAGUUGGUAAGGUAACGGCUUACCAAGGCAACGAUGCGUAGCCGACCUGAGAGGGUGAUCGGCCACACUGGAACUGAGACACGGUCCAGACUCCUACGGGAGGCAGCAGUAGGGAAUAUUCCGAAAUGGGCGAAAGCCUGACGGAGCAACGCCGCGUGAGGGAUGAAGGUCUUCGGAUCGUAAAACUCUGUUAUUAGGGAAGAACAAAUGUGUAAGUAAAUAUGCACGUCUUGACGGUACCUAAUCAGAAAGCCACGGCUAACUACGUG
rnacentral:rRNA from 1 species